ACAUCCAGCGAACUUGGCAGAGAUGCCUUGGUGCCUUCGGGAACGCUGAGACAGGUGCUGCAUGGCUGUCGUCAGCUCGUGUUGUGAAAUGUUGGGUUAAGUCCCGCAACGAGCGCAACCCUUAUCCUUUGUUGCCAGCGAUUCGGUCGGGAACUCAAAGGAGACUGCCGGUGAUAAACCGGAGGAAGGUGGGGAUGACGUCAAGUCAUCAUGGCCCUUACGAGUAGGGCUACACACGUGCUACAAUGGCGCAUACAAAGAGAAGCGACCUCGCGAGAGCAAGCGGACCUCAUAAAGUGCGUCGUAGUCCGGAUCGGAGUCUGCAACUCGACUCCGCGAAGUCGGAAUCGCUAGUAAUCGUGGAUCAGAAUGCCACGGUGAAUACGUUCCCGGGCCUUGUACACACCGCCCGUCACACCAUGGGAGUGGGUUGCAAAAGAAGUAGGUAGCUUAACCUUCGGGAGGGCGCUUACCACUUUGUGAUUCAUGACUGGGGUGAAGUCGUAACAAGGUAAGCGUAGCGAG
rnacentral:rRNA from 1 species